UAAUACGGAGGAUCCAAGCGUUAUCCGGAUUUAUUGGGUUUAAAGGGUGCGUAGGCGGAAUAGUAAGUCAGUGGUGAAAGCCUGCAGCUUAACUGUAGAAUUGCCAUUGAUACUGCUAAUCUUGAGUACAUAUGAAGUGGGCGGAAUGUGUCAUGUAGCGGUGAAAUGCUUAGAUAUGACACAGAACACCGAUUGCGAAGGCAGCUCACUAAACUGUAACUGACGCUGAGGCACGAAAGCAUGGGGAGCAAACAGGAUUAGAUACCCUGGUAGUCCAUGCCGUAAACUAUGAUUACUCGAUGUGUGCGAUACACUGUACGCGUCUAAGCGAAAGCGUUAAGUAAUCCACCUGGGAAGUACGACCGCAAGGUUG
rnacentral:rRNA from 1 species